GGAUGUGAGGGCGAUCUAGCUGCGACAUCUGUCACCCAUUGAUCACCAGGGUUGAUUUGGCUGAUCUGCUGGCUAGGCGGGUGUCCCCUUCCUCCCUACGGUCCAUGUGCGUCCCUCCCGAAGCUGCGCGCUUGGUCAAAGAGACUACCUUGCCGCUAGAGGAGGACUGUCUUUGGGUUCGGUCAAGGGUAUAUGAGUAGCUGCGCUCCCUACUAGAACCUCAAAACAAGCUCCCAAAAUCCAUGAAGAGUUAACAAAUACCUACUAUGUAAAAGGCAACAACUAACUACACGUAAUACUAGAU
rnacentral:snRNA from 1 species